GUACUACCUAUCAAUUUUUACGUUGAGAAGUGCUUGAUAAAUAUCAUUGAGUAUCAAACCGAGCUUCACGUAAAGACGGGUUUAACAGUAAAUCUAAACGGCCAAAAUAAGAAUGCCGUAAACAUUUUAGUGAUUUUAGUGUAGACAUCCUCUCCCCCGACACACACAGACAUCAACAAAAUUUAAUCGGAAUCCGUUAAAUUAUUUCGGUAAUGAAACACGCCAAUUGAGAGAUGAACAGACAGGAAUGACCUCGCCGUUGAGCAUACACUUUGUGCAGUUCAGGUAAUAUUCAUAGAAAUAAUAUUUGUGCUUAUAGCAAGUCGUAUCAAAUUUCUUCUCCACACAUGAUACAUGACAUAAGUUAAAUGGUAUGACCUAUAACUAUUCACACCCAUCAGCCUACUUUAAGUUAACGAUCAGCAUUGCCAUCCGACGGAUGUUUGGAAAAUCACAUUUUAUUUUGCAUAUUUAUAAAUCAUUUACGAUAGAAAUGUUGGUCACUGAACAGUAAGCCUUCCCCUUCAUAUAAGUUUGGUUGCAAAGUCACUUAUUUCCAAGCCACCGCUAAAUAUGGCUAUGCCAGGAAGUUAACACGGCCGGCGACCUCGUUCCGGAACAUGUCGGUAGUCGAGAAGACAGUUUUUCAACAGCUCCAGAUGAGUUGGGGCAGUGAAAAGAAAGUAAAGGAACAUUGAAGCUACAGAACCCCAAGAAUGAGUUUGAAGCCUUGGCGGAGCAGAGCAACAGCAUAGCAGCACAUGGGGCGGGCGGGGGCAUUGCCAAAUAUGGGUUCACACAGCCCCCACUGCUGUAUUCUUAGCACCGCAUGCAAGGCUGUCUGCUACAGUCCUCAGAGUAGCUGGCAGUGCUUGCUAAGUUGCCGCGGCUUCUGAACCGCAUAUACGAGUCAGAAUUCAAAGAUGAUGGUCCACGGAAGUCAACUAGACAACUCUGUGUCUAUCGAGGAAUAAUAAGAUAAUAAAUACAUUUAACGCCAACAUUGCCGUGGACAGGUUAAAAUCUGGGAGAGUACCUUAACAAGGGCAUGUCUAUGCAAAUCCGCAUAUAACUCAGUGAUCUGCAUAAACUCAUCUUUAAAGUCCGCAUCGGUCAGCUUUCUACAACCGCCCAGUUACCCGCUUGACAGCAGACAUGUCAUGCGUAAACAAAACCAAUUUUUUCAAUCCAUGCUGAAGGGAAUGUCCCGUCAUAUCCUACUAAUGUACUUGCAACUCACGCGAUGACGACAAGAAACGAAGUUUUCCUUUAAAGGAAAAAAACGUUUUUUUCUUGAAUGACAUACGAACAACGACGAGUUUCACACCAAACAUGGGACAAGUACUUUCAUCCGCAAUUCAAAACGUUUCAUUGUGGAAUAUUACGUCAACAGACUCGAUGUUCUUCGGGGUCAUACAAUGCAAAUAAAAAUAAAUGGAUCACUGUGGCCGCACGGUCUUCGACUGUCAAAACAACAGAACUAUUGGUUCGAACCCAACGCUGAACACAGACGUUCGUCCGCGUCUGUUUUGUUUUGGGCAUGUAGGGACCUUAAGGACUUGCCUCGCAUCUAAAGGAUCCUACCAUAUGUCUGAAUAGACUGUACACAAUGAAAGGAGGCCAAGGCAAAAGUUUAAUAACAACUCGAAGAAAAAACCAUUACAGAUGAUCGAAUACCUAUAGCCAAAUAUCCUAAGAUCUCUGACAAAGAAAGAAAUUAUCUCUGAUAAAAUUUACUGCUGUAAUACACUAAUUAACCAGUCACAAAUACAGUACGGAUCGCUAUGUAGUAUAAUAUGCUUGUAAAACCACAAACAGGAGCAAUAAGAGUGCGUUCUCCGUGACGGCUGCGUCCUAAACUGUGUCUUAUGGUACAAAAUGGAUUCUUGAAGUAACUAUUUAGGGCUAUGUAACACCUGAGGUUAUCUUCACUGAUAUCCUGAAGGAGACAUUGUGAUCCUCCGAAAUGCUGCUAACCACGGACAAGACUCACUACCCCCCCCCAAAAAAAUCGAAAUCAGUAUUUAGGACUGCUUUAUAUUUAGAGUUAAUUUAUAUGAGGCCCUUAAGUACAAAAUAGGCGUAUGACUUGUAUUUGGAAUGGGCCUAAUUCUAAAUUCAGUUGGUGUCACUGUCCUGAAAAACACCGCUACAGUGGAUUUUCCGAGGACCGAAGCUCUCACUGUACAUAUAUACAAUGCAGAUAAUAGUUACAACAGAUUGACUAUGUUAGCCGGGCUGACAGCCCGUGGUUUACAAAUCGAAUUACUGACAGCGUAUAUAAACGUUUAUUUACAGUAUAAUAAUGAGCAUCUUUAUGUUGUAUUAGGAGAAACGAUGUAAUAAGCAACCGUA